rnacentral:sRNA from 1 species
UAGCCAAUACACACAAACUUAAUGGCU